AACGAACGCUGGCGGCAGGCUUAACACAUGCAAGUCGAGCGCGCCGCAAGGGGAGCGGCAGACGGGUGAGUAACGCGUGGGAAUCUACCCAUCUCUACGGAAUAACGCAUGGAAACGUGUGCUAAUACCGUAUACGUCCUUCGGGAGAAAGAUUUAUCGGAGAUGGAUGAGCCCGCGUUGGAUUAGCUAGUUGGUGGGGUAAAGGCCUACCAAGGCGACGAUCCAUAGCUGGUCUGAGAGGAUGAUCAGCCACACUGGGACUGAGACACGGCCCAGACUCCUACGGGAGGCAGCAGUGGGGAAUAUUGGACAAUGGGCGCAAGCCUGAUCCAGCCAUGCCGCGUGAGUGAUGAAGGCCCUAGGGUUGUAAAGCUCUUUCACCGGUGAAGAUAAUGACGGUAACCGGAGAAGAAGCCCCGGCUAACUUCGCGCCAGCAGCCGCGGUAAUAC
rnacentral:rRNA from 1 species